UAAUCUGUCCUUAAUUAUUAUGAUAAAAGUUAAAGGAGAUUUGGACAACAGAAAAAAAUAAAAAAUAAAAAAUAUAUUUUUAACAAUAUUGUUCAUACAUGAACGACAAAGCCCAUUUCGGAUUGUGAAGAAUUCACAAUUAUUCAAAAUAUUUGAUAUUUUAUUGAAAUGUAGAACUACCAAAUAAUUAUUAAAUUCAGACUAAUCAAUAGAUUUAUUGGUAGUUACUACAAUUUUUAUGAGAAGAGUCGAAGCUAGGGUUGUGCCAGGCGAGCAGCUGCAGCCAGGGCAUCAUGGCAGCACCUCGGGUCAAAAUUGAACUCAUGAUCGCAGCAUCUGGGCAGACCAUAUGCAUGGCUUCCUUUCAACAAAGCCAUGGCAACCAUUACUAGUAAAG
rnacentral:lncRNA from 1 species